rnacentral:lncRNA from 1 species
CUCCAUAUGCCACGGGAGCAGCCCUAGAAAAGGCAAAAAGACAAAAAAUAAAUAAAUAAAUAAUAAAAAUUAGAUGGCUUAAUUUGGCCUCACUUUUCUGCUUCAUCUUACUCUUCCUAUUAGAUACCUUUUUAAGCUUUUUAUUGAAUCAUACACAGGGAAAAGUACAUAAAUCAAAAUAAAUGUAAAAUGUACAACUCCCCAAUAAAUAGUGAGCAUUCCCAUGUAACCAGCACCCUGGUCAAGAAACAAAACAUGACCAGUUCCCCAAAAGCCCCCUUCAUUCCCUCCAGUCCCUAUAUACCUUUUUUUUUUUUUUUUUUAAGGCCAAGACCACAGCAUGCAGACCUGAACCACUGCAGUGACAACAACAGAUCCUUAACCCACUAAGCCACACAGGAACUCCCCCUUAAAGGGAAACACAAUCCUGACUUUUUUUCUUUUUGGCCACACUUUUCGGCAUAUAGAAGUUCCCAGGCCAGGGGUCAAAUCCAGGCUGCAGGUGCAACCUACACCACAGCUGCAGCAACAUGGAUUUCUUAACCCACUGUGCCACAGUGGGAACUCCCCAAAAUCAUGACUUUUUUUUUUUCUUUUUAUGGCACACCUGCAGCAUAUGGAUGUUCUCAGGGUAGGUGUUGAAUCGGAGCUGCAGCUACAGGCCUACACCACUGCCCCAGCAACACCAGAUCCUUAACCCACUGAGCUAGGCCAGGAAUCAAACCCACAUCCUCACAGACAAUAUGUUGGGUUCUUAACCUACUGAGCCACAGUGGGAACUCCCCUGACUUUCAAUAGAUUGGUUUUGCUUUUGAACAUUAUAUUAAUGAAAUCAUACAGUAUGUAUUUUUAUGACUUGAUUAUUUUACUUUGAACAUUUGAGUUGUUCUAAUUUGGAGCAAUUAUAGAGCUGCUAUGAACACAUGUUUCAAUGAACAUGAGAAUGCAUUUCAGUUGGAUAUAUGUACCUAAGAGUGGAAUUGCUGGGCUAUAGGGUUUUAAUUUCAUUUAGCUUUAAUAUAUAGUGCCACCAGUUUUCCAAAGUAUGGUUGUACCAAUUUACUCUCCCACCAGCCAUACAAAAGAGCUUUUAAAUUGUUAAGUCACAGGUUUGGGGAACAUGAUUGGACUGAACACAAAUCUGAAUAAAUGAAGGCCACUGUUCACUCCUGUGACAAUGCUUUAAUUUAUAGAAACUGGACUUCUUCAGUGGGCUUCAGAGGGUCUCUGCAUACCCUAAAAUAUAUUUCCGGGAGUUCCACUGUGGCUCAGCAUAACAAACCUGACUAGUAUCCAUAGGAUGUGGGUUCGAUCCCUGGCUCUUCCCAGUGGGUUAAGGAUCUGGCAUUGCCAUGAGUUGUAGUGUAGGUCACAGACUUGGUUCAGAUCCUGGGUUGCUGUGGCUGUGGUGUAGGCUGGAGGAUACAGUUCCAAUUGGAACCCUAGUCUGGAACUUCCAUAUGCUGCGAGUGCAGCCCUUAAAAAAAAAUCAGAUUUCCAUACUUUGGAAAACUGGUAUCAGUAUAUGCUAAAGCUGAAUGUAAUCCAAUACACAGAGACACAUUAAGAAUAUCUGCUU